UCCUCCUGAUUUCUGCCUCCCAAGUGCUGGGAUUACAGGCGCGCGCCACUGCGCCCGGACUCCAUCGCCAGCUCAGCGCACCCAAAGGCGGGGCCGGCGCGACAGGUGGAGCCAGGCUUGUUAGAGAAAACAU